UGCGUGAAGUUGGAAUCGCUAGUAAUCGCGGAUCAGCAUGCCGCGGUGAAUACGUUCCCGGGCCUUGUACACACCGCCCGUCACACCAUGAGAGUCGGGAACACCCGAAGUCCGUAGCCUAACCGCAAGGGGGGCGCGGCCGAAGGUGGGUUCGAUAAUUGGGGUGAAGUCGUAACAAGGUAGC
rnacentral:rRNA from 1 species